rnacentral:lncRNA from 1 species
UCAAAAGUAAUAACUCUUAUACAAAGUAUCAAACAUAACAUAAUUUUUCAACUAUAAAUGUCAUAACAUGUAACUCUUAAUACAUAAAAUCUCCAUCAUAUUUCAUGCUGCUCUAUUGCUUGCUCCAGAAGACCUACUUCCUAACUCUUUUGGCGAUGAAAUCUCACUCUCUUGAUUCAAUUCCUACAACAAAAAUAUAAUUUGAAAAUAUAAUAAACAAAAUUACCCUUCUGAUAUUCAAGGCUUCCUAGUAAAGCUCUAGCUUCCUAUGAGAAAAGGGUCAUUUACUCAUUUAGUUUCAUCUUAUAAUGAAGAGACAUCUCAAUCAAUGAAAUCAUCAAGAAUAUAUUAAGAAAGGAAGCAGAUUUUCUCACACAACAUUCUGCUAACACAACAUUUCAUAAAUCAUAACCAUCACACUGAAAAGAAAAACAGGCCUUCAAUAAUGUCAUUACAACAAUCAUGCCAUCACCAGUUACCUACCAAGCCCGAAAUUUUGCCUGUAAGUAAUAUGCAUGCUCCCAAACAUCUAUGCCUCCUUCCUGUAAAUAAUGAAGCAUUAAGCAAAAGAACUACUUAAAUAAUGAAGCAUUAAGCAAAAGAACAUCUAUGCUCUCUGCAAAUCAAGUUCUCAAUUGGUUCAAUUCAUCAAAAAAAGAUACUUCAACCAGAGACGAUGUCUUUGUACUUAUCACUGUCUUUUGUUCACUUAAAUUGAAGAAAGCAACAUACAGUUCACCUAAACACGUAUAUAUAGUAAGGAAUUAAGACUCUAUUAAAUGCUUGAAUGAUAUAUUGAUUAUUAAGAUUCAUCUAAAGUGUUGGUUGGCUAUUCACCUCUUCUUCCUUUUGCAAUCCAAGAGCAAAUCCCACCAGGACUAAUACCAUCUGCAUGAAUGACCAAUUUGGAUUAAGAAUAACAAAGAAGCACCGUAAAGACUUAUAAAAGUGUUAUCCAAUUGAGAAAUGUUUAUAAUUUCACAGUUUUACCUUUGGCAGAUUCUACUAUUACACACAGACCGGAGUAAUUUUUUACCAUGGUCUCAUUUGGAUUUAGCUUCCACAUCUGUUGGAACACUGGAUAGAUCAGCUUUCAAUAGAAUCUAUAUAUAUCAAUCAACAAAUACAAAUUGGGCCAAUGCAGGCUUCUAUACUUAUUUCUAGAGAUUAAGGGCCACAUGCAAAUCUUGUAUGUGAAAUAUGGAGUAAAGCAUACCUGAUUUGCAUCCCAUCUUCUAUACCUUGUUGCGCUUCUUCUUCUUCGUCGUCUUCAGAAAACAUAUUCAUAUUGCUGAUCUCUGCAACAUUAUUUUAAUAAGAACAUGUAAGAAUGCGUAGGAUAAAAGGGAUAUAUAUAAAUAACAAGAAAAACAAGGGCAUGCAGGUGGAACUAACAAGACCUUUGGAUUAAGGGGAAUCUGCCAGUGAAGGUUGAGAAGGUGAGGAGAAAAAUAGCAAGGGAGAAGUAGGAAGAGGAAGAGAAGCUAAAAAGAGACUGAGACAUGGUUAAGGAGUUACCAAAGAAAAUUAUACUUGAAAAGUUGCAAUAAAAAUUUAGAAUUCUUACUUGUAUAAUUAGGAGUAAGCUUAGUGCAGGGUAGAAAGCCAUGAUUUGGUGGAGGCUUCCACAGUUUCUCAUAAUCUGAAUCCCAUCUUGAAUCAUUCAACUGUAAAAAAAAGAAUCAGAACACUGAAGUUGAAAGUUUUGUUUGCCAUGAUUUAUAAUAUUCACCAAGAUACACAACACUUCAAAAUAGCUUAGAAUCACAGCCUCAAAACAACUCAAAUUUUAAAAGGUUUAAUGAGUGAAAUUUAACCAACUUUAAUUUGUUUAUAACAGUAACAGUGCAUUCUAAUACUUGUUAUUAAUUUGAUCACAUUCUCAGCAUCCAAAAAAAUCAUAAUAAAUCAGCUAGAAAGGUUAUUAAUGACAAAAACCUUGGAAGCAGCAAAUGAUCCACAACUGAUGGAUACUAAUAAGCAUAUGACUGAUUUCUACAACUGAAAGUUCAGUAAUGAAUCUAAAGUGAUGACAAAGCCAAACUUUCUAAUUAAUAAACAGUCACUGUACUACCAGGGUAUGCUAAUAUACAUGUAUGAGUUACACUUAGCUAAGUCUAACUAUUCAUCUAGUAUAACUAACUAAACAGCUUCUAACUACUUCUAAUUCUAACUGAAUGAGCUGGCAGUUGAGUAAACUACAAUCCCUCAAACUAUCAUGAAAUUAUGAUAUAAAUUGAAAUUAUUUACACUUAAUACAGAAUAAACUUCGAAAAAAGUUAAUAAAUCCUCACUUUAAACCAGUCUUGGGCAUUAACUAAAUCUGAACACUCUAUUAAGAUGUAAACCACUAAUCAAGAGUAUCAAUUUUGUUUCAGGGCAGCAUUUAGUUUAAGCUUUCAACAAAUUAGAUAUUAAACAAAUAUUUAAAUAGUAUUCUAAAAGAAACUAUAAAAAAAAAUUAUAAUUACCUCUUGUCGCCGAAGCACGUGCACAAAUUCUUCCUUUGUCAAAUUCGUCAUCUAUUUAUUAUUUUACACAACACACCACCGUAAUGUAUCAAACUUGGAGAAUAGAGAUGCAAAUCAAAUGAAUGAAUUAAUUAAUUGAUGAAUCACCUGCUUCAAGUCUUCUUCGUAGUCUUCUAUGUUGAAGUUAAUGUCAGCCUCCACUCCGUGGAACUUAAUUGCCGCUCUAUCAUAAGCACUGUCCAAAGCAGAAAAAUGAAUUAAUACAAAAAGAAAGAAAGGUGAGGAGAGAGAAAUAUAUAUAUGCUGGCUCGCUCACUCACCCAGCAGCUGCAUGUGCGGUGUCAAAUCCACCUGCACAAAUUUUACCCAGACAAAAGAGAACCAAUUACUUCAGCCAGCAUAUUCAUUGCAAGCAUAGAUGCAAUAAAACAAUAUCUUUGUGUAUGCAUCAGUUUAUUGCCAAAAAAUUUGGAGGAAUUUGAAAGUUAAAUAGAAUGAAAAGUGGAAGCUAGUAAACUACUUGUCAGGGAACAACAAACCUGAAUAUGGUCAUCAGGAAGUAAGACUUUCCGCGCAUUUAGACAUCUGCAGGUUGAAAUAUAACAGGAUUCCAGAUAUAGCAAAAGUUAAAUCCAACGAUAUAACAAAUUAAUAAUAUUGGAAUAACCUUUCAAAAAGUUCUUUUGAAUCUUUUAAAUUGCAAGAUGCUUGCAGGGUCAGAGCUAAAGAUUCAGCUGCAACAACUAGACAACAAAAUAUAUAUUUAAAUGAUUCCAAUUUCUAAGAAGCAAAAUAACAAACACAUAGAGUGCAUUAUUACAAAAUAAUGGAAAAUAGGGUUAUUAUUGAUGAGCCUUUGAACCUGAGGCAUGAAGCCAUUGAAGCUGAGCUUGAAGAGACAAAGA